rnacentral:rRNA from 1 species
GACGGAGGAUGCAAGCGUUAUCCGGAAUUAUUGGGCGUAAAGCGUCCGCAGGUGGCUGUUCAAGUCUGCUGUCAAAGCGCAGAGCUUAACUCUGUACAGGCGGUGGAAACUGAAGAGCUAGAGUAUGGUAGGGGUAGAGGGAAUUCCCGGUGUAGCGGUGAAAUGCGUAGAUAUCGGGAAGAACACCAGUGGCGAAAGCGCUCUACUGGGCCAUAACUGACACUGAGGGACGAAAGCUAGGAGAGCGAAAGGG